GAUGAACGCUGGCGGCGUGCCUAAUACAUGCAAGUCGAGCGAACAGACGAGGAGCUUGCUCCUCUGACGUUAGCGGCGGACGGGUGAGUAACACGUGGAUAACCUACCUAUAAGACUGGGAUAACUUCGGGAAACCGGAGCUAAUACCGGAUAAUAUAUUGAACCGCAUGGUUCAAUAGUGAAAGACGGUUUUGCUGUCCCUUAUAGAUGGAUUCGCGCCGCAUUAGCUAGUUGGUAAGGUAACGGCUUACCAAGGCAACGAUGGGUAGCCGACCUGAGAGGGUGAUCGGCCACACUGGAACUGAGACACGGUCCAGACUCCUACGGGAGGCAGCAGUAGGGAAUCUUCCGCAAUGGGCGAAAGCCUGACGGAGCAACGCCGCGUGAGUGAUGAAGGUCUUCGGAUCGUAAAACUCUGUUAUUAGGGAAGAACAAAUGUGUAAGUAACUAUGCACGUCUUGACGGUACCUUAUCAGAAAGCCACGGCUAACUACGUG
rnacentral:rRNA from 1 species